AAACGUUGCAAGUUCCCGAGAGGAUUCGCACUGCGAAGAUGCCUUGUAACCGAAUAUUAUCAGGGGGAAUCAUCAUG
rfam:Enterococcus dispar ATCC 51266 genomic scaffold acpMG-supercont1.1, whole genome shotgun sequence.